rnacentral:rRNA from 1 species
CACGUAGGGCGCAAGCGUUAUCCGGAAUUAUUGGGCGUAAAGAGCUCGUAGGCGGUUUGUCGCGUCUGCUGUGAAAUCCGGAGGCUCAACCUCCGGCCUGCAGUGGGUACGGGCAGACUAGAGUGCGGUAGGGGAGAUUGGAAUUCCUGGUUUAGCGGUGGAAUGCGCAGAUAUCAGGAGGAACACCGAUGGCGAAGGCAGAUCUCUGGGCCGUAACUGACGCUGAGGAGCGAAAGGGUGGGGAGCAAACAGG